CCUACGGGAGGCUGCAGUGGGGAAUAUUGGACAAUGGGCGGAAGCCUGAUCCAGCGACGCCGCGUGAGGGAAGAAGGCUUUCGGGAUGUAAAGCUCUUUUAGCAGGGACGAAAGAAGUGACGGUACCUGACUAAGAAGCCCCGGCUAACUACGUGCCAGCAGCCGCGGUAAUACGUAGGGGGCAAGCGUUAUCCGGAUUUACUGGGUGUCAAGGGUGCGUAGACGUGGAUGCAAGUCAGAAGUGAAAUGCGCGGGCCCAACCGCCGGACUGCAUUUGAUACUGUAUUGCGUGAGUGCAGGAGAGGGAAGUGGAAUUCCGAGUGUAGCGGUGAAAUGCGUAGAUAUUAGGAGGAACACCAGUGGCGAAGGCGGCUUACUGGACUGCAACUGACGUUGAGGCGCGAAAGCGUGGGGAGCAAACAGGAUUAGAUACCCGUGUAGUC
rnacentral:rRNA from 1 species